UUUCACACAACAUGGAAUUCACGUGAAAUCAUAAAACAUGGAGUAAGGACUUGUUAAUUGAGCACUCUUAAAUCAUGAAAACAUGAUUAUGCCUAUUCUAGGCAUUUCGUCGAACACCUUGCAUGCACACUUUAUGGCAUAGGUGUUCUUAAUAAUUUAGUCAUCUUAAACCACCCAAUUUCAUGGGUUUUAACUACAAGCACACAUACUUCAUGAGAAUCACCCUAAAUUAAUAUCUUGAAGCAUAAAUAACAACCAUCAACAUGUACA
rnacentral:lncRNA from 1 species